rnacentral:lncRNA from 1 species
AUUUUUAUAAAAGACAACGGUUUUUACAGAAAUCCGUUAUCUAUGUAGUGUUACUCAUAAGCAUAGAUAACGGUACGAAGUAAUUCGUUAUGAAUAAGCGUUAUCUAUUAGGUGCAUACAUAACGGUGUUAUCGAACCGUUAAGAUAACCGUUAUCUAUGAGUGUAUUUUUAUAACGGUUGUUUUAACCGUUAUGUAUGAGCGCUUAAAUACUGUUAUGAUUACUUUUUAUAUUUAUUUUUAAUUUUAACUUUAAUAAUAUUAUAAAAAAUAAAAACCCUAAUUACAUAAUUCACCUUCUUCUCC